rnacentral:rRNA from 1 species
CUACGGGGGGCUGCAGUGGGGAAUAUUGGACAAUGGGGGGAACCCUGAUCCAGCCAUGCCGCGUGUGUGAAGAAGGCCCUCGGGUUGUAAAGCACUUUCAGUGAGGAAGAACGCCUGGUGGUUAAUACCCAUCAGGAAAGACAUCACUCACAGAAGAAGCACCGGCUAACUCCGUGCCAGCAGCCGCGGUAAUACGGAGGGUGCGAGCGUUAAUCGGAAUUACUGGGCGUAAAGCGCGCGUAGGUGGCUUGAUAAGCCGGUUGUGAAAGCCCCGGGCUCAACCUGGGAACGGCAUCCGGAACUGUCAAGCUAGAGUGCAGGAGAGGAAGGUAGAAUUCCCGGUGUAGCGGUGAAAUGCGUAGAGAUCGGGAGGAAUACCAGUGGCGAAGGCGGCCUUCUGGACUGACACUGACACUGAGGUGCGAAAGCGUGGGUAGCAAACAGGAUUAGAUACCCUUGUAGUC